CCCUUAGAUGUUCUGGGCCGCACGCGCGCUACACUGAUGCAUUCAACGAGUCUAAAACCUGCUCUGAUAGGGGUGGGUAAUCUUUUGAAUGUGCAUCGUGAUUGGGAUAGAUGAUUGCAAUUUUUCAUCUUCAACGAGGACUGCCUAGUAAACGCAAGUCAUCAGCUUGCAUUGAUUACGUCCCUGCCCUUUGUACACACCGCCCGUCGCUCCUACCGAUUGAAUGAUCCGAUGAAUAUCAUGGAUUGAGGAUGCAAGCAGGUUCGCCUGUCUUCAUCUUCGAGAAGUGAAGUAAAUCUUAUCAUUUAGAGGAAGGAGAAGUCGUAACA
rnacentral:rRNA from 1 species